rnacentral:tRNA from 1 species
GGGGCUGUAGCUCAGUGGCAGAGCGCUUGCCUAGCAUGCAUGAGGCACAGGGUUCAAUCCUCAGCACCA